AAACCUCGCGGGUGCCGUGGUUUCGAGCGAGUCGGUAUGUGUGUAGGCCCUUGGCCUUGCAUCCGGGCUAUAAAAAGAAACCCUCCGCCGCGAACCCCCCUGGCCAUCCAAGUCACAGGCUUCAUCGGCGCCGCCUCAAUUUGCUCCCGGUCUUUUCCUUCUCCACCGUGUCGCACGUCUCCGUGGUCAGACUCCUUCACAGCUUGACAGCCGGUGAGCAACAUCCUAUCACAUUCACAAUCCUCUCCUCCAUGUGUAGCGAUGUUUAGGGUGUCGGAUGGGGCACGGUUGCGCUGGGUCGUCGCGCACCGGCGGGGUUACCGCCGUGAAGACUGGUGGCGCCGCCAUCUUGCGUCGUUGAGGUGGAAGAUGAACCUCGAUCAUGGGAUCCCAAACCUAUGGACAUGAUUAGAUCCCAGGCCCCGGCCCGGCCUGAGUAUUGGUGAUCCGCACGAUCUAGAUCGUAAGGCCAGAGACGUAUCACGUGUACGUAGAACCCGAACCGAAGGAUUAGGAUCUUACGACCUCAAUUUUGUAUUGGUUCGAAUGGCGACCGUUCUAAUCGCGGCCUUCAGUUUUUGAUCGCGCGGCCAGGAUUGGCGGAUACCCCUUCGUCGAGCCAACUUUGUAGAAGAAACCCUCGGGUUAAGCAAAACCAACCUGCCGUCCUGGAGCAGUAGAAAAGAAUUUAAUUCGGGUCCCUGGCAUUUGCAGUUUAAACCAUGUACUCUCUGAAAAUUAGGGCCGCAGUCCAAGGAGGGGAUAAAAAGGAAUAAACUAAAUCAGAAAAUAAUUUUUAGUAUUAAAAUAAUUUCAGAAUCUUGGUUAAUACAUAGAAAAUCCAUUUUAACUUCUUUUGAUCCAUUCCAGUUGCAUUAAUUUUGUUUGAAUAUUGUUUAUCAUCUGGUAACUCUGGUUAGUCAUGAAACACAUAUUAAAAUUAUCCACUUAAUUUAUUCUAUACUAAACACUUAAUAACUUCGGAAAAUCGUAGCUCGUGAACCGUAACUCCGAAUUUAGUGAUUCUCGAACCUACGACCUCGUUACGAUGCAUAGAAUAUUAUUAUGCAGUAUGUUCUCAUGUUUGGUGUGAUGUUAAUUUUUCAUGUACCAUGUUUGCUUGUAUUGUUGCGAGUAGACGGGCAAGUGACUGAGGACUCAGAAGCUCGGCAGGUGGAAAAUACUGAGCAGGAGCUCGUUGAAGGCAAGUUGUGCCCUUGAUCACUUCUAUUUACCCAAUAAUUUUCAUGUUGAUCAUUAUGAUCUGCAUAGGUUAAUUUUGAUGGGAUCCAAUAGGUCACCCGAGUUUGGCUAUCUUUAUACCUUGUUUACCACUGAACUUUUGGGUAGUACCUGCUAUUGCUUUAUGUGGUUUUGGGUGUUAAGAUACACAUUAUUCAUGUUCAUGCUUUUAUUAUCAAUUUUUUAUUUACUGUUCAUGACAAGAUCAUUAUGUUAAUUGGAACAUGGAGCGACCACCCGGGAAAAUGGUGCUACCACAAGGGUGGUAUGGGACGCCCUUGACUGACUAAUUAGGAAAGCUAGUGGAGGACUACCUUACCCGAAAGAGGCAAGGGCAGUAGGGGAGUGGUCGGUAUAGGGAGGUUCUCGGGUUGAUUUUGCUGCGAUGGUUUUCAGACGGGGGAUUCUGAUGCUGCGCUCCAUAGAAAUUGUAGCGGGUUUUCUGAAGCUAGUGGAACUUUAUAAAGGCCUCGUAGUAUUACCCUGUCUCGCUUCCUUGGUAGAGGUGUAUGGGAUUCAUGACCCCUUGGCAGAUGGGUAACAUAACUUGUGGGUAAAGAUGUGCAACCUCAGCAGAGUGUAAAACUGGUAUAUCAGUCGUGCUCACUGUUAUGAGCGGCUCGGACCCUCACAUGAGUAACUUAUGGAAUUAAAUUUAAUUGGUCAUUUGCAUCGCAUUGUGGUUUAUUAUUAAUUUUGAUCUAUUAUCACUCUGGUUUGGUAUAUACUUACAUUUAGUAAUUGCUAAUAAAAUUUGACCAACUUAUUAAAAGCAAUGCUCUGCUUUAACCAUUAUUUGUUGAUCAGCAUUACACUUCACAUGAACUCUCACCUUUGUUGAGUUCAUGCACAUUAUUCCCCACAACUUGUUGAGCUAUGAUCUUUUGUGAGCUCACUCUUGCGAUAUAUAAACCACCCCAGAAGAAGAACAGGUGGUCCAGGAGGAGGUCUACAACGAGGAGUAUGAGCUUAUCUAGGUGGCGUCUCCCAGUCAGCUUAUGGCGCCAAGGAAUAAUUAUUUAGUUCGUUUUCUUAUUAUUAUUUAUUUUUGUAAGACUCUUCCGCUAUGUAAUAAUAAUUGUGGCAUUUAUCUCUAUACACUUUAUCAUUAUUUGUGGUGUUCUUCUUUAUCUGGGUGUGACAGAUGGCGGGUUCCGCGAUGGGUACGUGGCGACGGCGGAUGAGGAGUGGAUGGAGAGCGGUU
rnacentral:lncRNA from 1 species